rnacentral:rRNA from 1 species
GUGGGGAAUUUUGGACAAUGGGGGCAACCCUGAUCCAGCAAUGCCGCGUGCAGGAAGAAGGCCUUCGGGUUGUAAACUGCUUUUGUACGGAACGAAACGGUCUGGGUUAAUACCCUGGGCUAAUGACGGUACCGUAAGAAUAAGCACCGGCUAACUACGUGCCAGCAGCCGCGGUAAUACGUAGGGUGCAAGCGUUAAUCGGAAUUACUGGGCGUAAAGCGUGCGCAGGCGGUUUUGUAAGACAGACGUGAAAUCCCCGGGCUCAACCUGGGAAUGGCGUUUGUGACUGCAAAGCUGGAGUGCGGCAGAGGGGGAUGGAAUUCCGCGUGUAGCAGUGAAAUGCGUAGAUAUGCGGAGGAACACCGAUGGCGAAGGCAAUCCCCUGGGCCUGCACUGACGCUCAUGCACGAAAGCGUGGGGAGCAAACAGGAUUAGAAACCCUGGUAGUCC